GACGAACGCUGGCGGCGUGCUUAACACAUGCAAGUCGAACGGAAAGGCCUGCUUUCCCUUGUGGAUUGCGGGUACUCGAGUGGCGAACGGGUGAGUAACACGUGAGUGAUCUGCCCCCAACUUGGGUAUAAGCCUGGGAAACUGGGUCUAAUUCCCGAUAGGACUGCAGGGUGGUGCCUGUGGUGGAAAACGAUUUUCUAGUGGUUGGGGAUGAGCUCGCGGCCUAUCAGCUUGUUGGUGGGGUAAUGGCCUACCAAGGCGGCGACGGGUAGCCGGCCUGAGAGGGUGGACGGCCACAUUGGGACUGAGAUACGGCCCAGACUCCUACGGGAGACAGCAGUGGGGAAUAUGGCACAAUGGGCGGAAGCCUGAUGCAGCGACGCCGCGUGGGGGAUGACGGCCUUCGGGUUGUAAACUCCUUUCGACCGCGAGGAAGCCACCUGGUUGGAAGGGUGGUGACGGUAGUGGUAGAAGAAGCACCGGCUAACUACGUG
rnacentral:rRNA from 1 species